ensembl:misc_RNA Metazoa_SRP Metazoan signal recognition particle RNA
GCUGGGUGUGGUGGUGUGUGCCUGUGUUCCCAGCUUCUCAGGAGGCUGAGGUGAGAGGAUUGCUUGAGCCUGGGAGGCACGGGUUGCAGUGAGCUGAGAUCAUGCCACUGCACUCCGGCCUGGGUGAUAGAGUGAGACCCCAUCUCUA